rnacentral:rRNA from 1 species
UACAGAGGGUGCGAGCGUUGUUCGGAAUUAUUGGGCGUAAAGGGCGCGUAGGCGGUGCGGUAAGUCACCUGUGAAAUCUCCUGGCUCAACUGGGAGCUUGCAGGCGAAACUGCCGUGCUGGAGUGUGGGAGAGGUGCGUGGAAUUCCUGGUGUAGCGGUGAAAUGCGUAGAUAUCAGGAGGAACACCUGUGGUGUAGACAGCUUACUGGACCACUUCUGACGCUGAGACACGAAAGCGUGGGUAGCAAACAGG